UGAUACCAGCUGAACCAGAAGCCAAUGGCAGCUUGAAACAGCAGCUUGCUCCUGUAUCUGAGGAUUCUGUGGUCCCGAAUCAGCACGUGUCACAGAUGUUUGGAGGAGACCGAGAGUGUGCUGUCGGCACGCAUCGUCCGUGAAGCAAUGGGGCAGAGUUCAUCCCUUACUUCAACCUAUGCAUCGCUGUUUUGUGCAUCGUCAUAAAAACAACACAUUCCAAAUGCACUGUCAUGGGCUUGGAAGGAAAAUAAUAAAGAAAACAAA
rnacentral:lncRNA from 1 species